rnacentral:rRNA from 1 species
AACGAACGCUGGCGGCACGUUUUAAGCAUGCAAGUCGAAUGGCAGCAGGGGCAACUCUGUGAGAAUGGCGAACGGGUGAGUAGCACGUAGGUGAUCUGCCUUGAGGAUGGGGAUAGCCUGUGGAAACACAGGGUAAUACCGAAUGAGCUGACGAGACUUUGGUUUUGUUAGUAAAGGUGCUACGGCACCGCCUUGAGAGGAGCCUGCGGCUGAUUAGCUAGUUGGUGGGGUAAGAGCUUACCAAGGCGACGAUCAGUAGCCGGCCUGAGAGGGGGUACGGCCACACUGGAACUGAGACACGGGCCAGACUCCUACGGGAGGCAGCAGCUAAGAAUCUUCCGCAAUGGGCGAAAGCCUGACGGAGCGAUGCCGCGUGAUCGAUGAAGGUCGAGAGAUUGUAAAGAUCUUUUCUACAUGAGGAAUAAGUCUGGGAGGGAAUGCCCGGAUGAUGACGUUAGUGUAGGAAUAAGCCCCGGCUAAUUACGUGCCAGCCGCCGCCGUAA